GUGAUUCCUGGUGGGCACAGACACUCUGAAGACCUCUGCAGAAAUGCCACCUUUGCAGCUUGGCUUCCUCCUUGUGCUCAGUUGGCUGGGAGCUGGUGCAGCUCCUGCUGGGACAUACCUGUGCUCCAGCCCCGCUCUCAAUGAAACUGCUGUGUGUGCUUCAGUGAGAAGCCUCCCAGACAGAUUUAUUUGCUACCUGAGCCCCUCUACAGUGAGUAACCUGAGCAGGGAUGAUACUUUGAGCUUGGACCAGAGGAUCAGUAAGAGCUGCACCUUGAACACAACGCUUGGAAGAAUAAAAGGAAAAGGAGCUGCCUCCUCCCUGACAACAGAGGAACUGCAGGUUGUAUCUUCUUUGGUGAGGAAUGUUGACCAUUUCACUCCUCCAAUGCUGAGAGUGUUGGGCCGGAUUGCUGUCGGGCUGUCUGUAUCUGACAUUGAAAAUAAGAUCAGUGGAGAAGACCUUCGAGCAUCCAUUCCUACCCUGGGUAAAGUUCGUGGCUGGAAUGCUGACCAGUCCAGUGCUAUUAUCAACAAACUGCUCAGCUCCGGCUAUCAGAUUUCUUCUGGACAGAGCCUGGCAAAGCUAGGGAGCUUGGUGUCUGGCCUCAGGAGCAGCACGCUUCGAAGCCUGCCUCCAGAAGAGAUCUUGGAAGCCAUUAAGUUGCCUGAGUUUGUUCAGCAAAUAGAGGCCCUGCCCUCUCCUCUAAAAAGGAUACUUGUGGAAAAGAUUUCCUCCAGUGUAGGCAAUCCAGCUGACCUGGUUAAACUUACCCCUGCUGCUCUGGCCACUUACAUUCCAAAAUCAUUGCUUAUUUUUGAGGACGAGAAGCUCAACAUUGAGGAUCUCAACAGUAAAAUGUGGACCCGAGAACAGGUAAUAUUUGUAGGCUUUCAGCCCUCACUGUCACUCUUGGACACUGCAGAGCUAUGAGUCCACUCUGAAAAUCUACCUGCAAAUAGAUGUGAGUGUUGUGGAAGAGCACAGUAAACUCCUGAC
rnacentral:lncRNA from 1 species